rnacentral:piRNA from 1 species
UGAUCCGGAUGGAACCAUGGGUGAGC